ensembl:lncRNA
UUGGUCCAGCCUGAGUAGUUGUCCACGGCCUGCCAGCCCUCCCACUGGUCCUCAGGGUCCUUAUGUCUGGGGUGGAAUUGUGUCCACCCAAAAGUCUUAUGUUGGAGCCCAACACUCAGUACCUCAGGACAGGAUCAUAGCUGGAGAGAGAGCCUUUACGGAGCUAUAGUGAAGUCAUAAGGAUGGGCUCUAAUAUGUGGGGUGUCCUUCUGAGAAGGGGACCUUUGGACACAGAGAGACACACAGGAAGAUCACUAUGUGGACAUGAAGAUGGCAUUGACAGACCAAGAGCGAGGCCAGAACAGAUUCUUCGUCAGCCCACGGAAGGAACAACCCUCGGGGCACCUGGAUCCUGGACUUCCGGCUUCCAGAACCAUGAGACAAUCCAUCCCUGUGGAUUUACUCACCCAGGUCAUAGUACUUUGUCAUGGCAGCUCCCAGAAACUAACCCACCUGGAGCCAGAACUGGACUCUCGUGUGUGUACACCACACUCCCCUCAGUACCCGAGUCUGAGGAGCAGACACUCAGGCAAGUAAAGGGACAGAUCCGAGAGGUUGGGCCAAGCCAGGUAGUAAAGAGGAGCGAGGCAGCGCCAGCAAGUGACCUCCAGAGCCCAACUGCCAGGCCCCACUCAGGUGUCCCACAGCAGCUCCCCCAAACUCUGGAAGAAGACAGGCUCCCCUCUCUCACUCCCCAGCAGGACUCUUUCUGACUCCUGUAACCAGUCAGGACCCUAGGCCCUCCCUCCAAGGUCCCCCAAAGAGUGGGGCUCUAAGCACUUCUUCAGGACUUCCAGCAGGUGGAGGUGGGUCCCAGCAGAGAGGAAGCGGACCUCAGGAUCACCAGAAUGCAAAGAAGACCUCGCGUUUAUCCGACAUAUUUUGUGUGUGGACGCCAGAAUGACUCGGCAACAUCCCUGCCCUUGAGGAGCUCAGCCCAACAGAGGAGUAAAAAUAUAAAUUAUAGGACAGGGCUGUAAAUUAUACAGAGAAGCAUAUGAGGUACUGAAAUAGAACAAAGAUGGGAGCAAUUAACUUCUAGGGUCCUCUGCAUAGGCCUCACAGAGAAAGGGCUAUGUAUGCUGGGUUUUGCAGGAUGAGUAGAAGUUUUCAGGACAAAAUGUGCAAAGACAUUCAAAAGACUAACACCGCCAAGGCCCAUGACAUGGUGUUCCUGCUACAGAAUGAUGAAAUAUAGGACGUGAUGCUCAAGUUACCUUCUCUUACCAAGUGGGGAACUCAGUCUGAAGGAUUUGAAGCUCCUGUCUGGGGUGACACGGAUGGAAGUUAGAAGUUCCAGGUCCAAGGCUGAUGCUAAUGUGCCCAUUACUUUCCUUUCCCCCUUUCUUGAUGCUGGAGACCAGAAAUCAGUGUCUUGUGUCUUUUGUUUCCUCUUCUUCUUUAUUUCUGGCCAAACUGCAGCUUAGGAUCAAAACAGAAAAACACACCCUCAGACCUGCCCCGGCCCCACAGUGCUGCCUCCUGUCACCCAAGGCCCACACUGGGCAUGGGGAAAGGGAGCUACUGGACUAAGCGGGGGCUGGGGCUGGGGCUGGGGCCGGGGCCGGGGCCGGGGCGGGGGAGGCAGCUGGAAUAGAGCACGAGAGAAAAUAGUUCACGGUCUGUGUGGCAAGGGGAGACAGGCCGCCCAGCUGCGGCCAGCAGAGCCAGGAGGCCGGGCCCAGCCCAGACAUUUCAAAAACAAAUCUGGAU